UUCGUUUUGCGCGAAUGCGCGCCUGAUGUUGUAACGGCUAUAUUUGAAUUCAAACGUUCGUAGGCUUGAGCCUCGUUGUCGCGUUUACAAUCGGUGCUGGCUCCUUGGACGGCGUGUCUUGCAGCGGUUCUCUGCCCUUCUGGUAUUUGAUAGCUCGCUAUUGGUAUCGGACGCACAAUGCAGCGGCUACCUCGACGGUUUCGUGUUUGAGCGUGCUUUGUGUACUGUGUGUCAGCCGCUGAUGGAUACAUCCCUUUGCGCUGCGCUGGGCCCGCCGGCCACGGUGGAAUGGACCGGAGUCAGCCUCCCUCCAGCCCCGACGAUCCGCACAGCGCUGCUCACUCCGACUACAAUGCCCCUGGCGGCGGCCAUGGUUACGCUCCUCAUAACCGUGGCCGCUCCGAGACACCAGACUGACGGCCACGAUCUCGUGGUGGACGUCUACUCCGGCGAAGACGAACAGCAGACGAGGCCGCUGCGGUUGCGCCCGGCUCGCGUCGAACCUUACUGCUGGACUGCCGGUGUGACGUACACCUACCAGACGGAGGGCAUCUUCAGACCCACGGUGGUCGCCUGGUUCAGUGGCCACAAUGCUUCGUGGGUCGCGGCGCACAAGGACUUCGUCGGCGUCUACCGCAAUCUGUCGUCGGUACAAGACGCCUGGCUACGCAGCUUGCUGGUCAUGCCGGCAGAUGUGGUCCCUACACGGACGAGUAUCAGGUGCGGCCUCCGGGAAAAAACUAGGCUACCGGUCGGUUACACCGUUUCAUACGCCGUCAGUAGAGUGAUCGGCAGUUGCCGGCAAGAAAACGACGACACGCCUUCAGCGACGUGCGGCAGCCGAGAGUCGGUCCUGCUCUUCAUCUCUACGGGGGGUGCCGGCCACGAGAUGGCGUACGUCUUCCAGGAACCCGGGACGUACCGCGUCGCGGUGACGCUGCGGAACCCGCUCAGCGAAGCCACGGCGACGAAAACUAUCAGCGCGCUGGAUGAAAUUCGAGGACUGCGAGUGAACUUGAGUGCCCGCGCUGUGGGCGGUGGCGACCGCCGCCAACCUUUCGUCGUGGCGACCGGUAGCAACGUGACGCUCUCGGCUACAUACGAAGCAGGCACCGACGUCCGCUGCUCGUGGCGCGUUCUUCCUGCUUGUGGCUCCUGCCUCGUCGUGGUGCCUGCGGAAGGACUGCGGGAGCCAGCGAAGGCGUGCGUGGCGUGGUUCCUGUUUCCCGUUGCCGGCGCGUAUUCGGUGACCGCGGAAGGCCUGGAACGACCUGGGCCAGCGGCACAGAGCUAGCCUAACUGUCCCUGUGAUUGCGCAGGACAGGGUGAGAGGUCUGCGAGUGUGGUCUCUUGGUCCCCGGUGGGUUGCGACGGUGGGAGCGCGGUUUGUGAUCGGGGUGAUUCUAGAAGAAGGCACGAACGCGACUAUCGCGUACCGGGUGCCGGGACGGCAGUGGACGCCGCUGCGAACUUCGCGUUCCGGGAGCGGCGCUCGCAGGGCCUCGCUUCGCUUCGGCAAGGCGGGUCUCCAACGCGUGGCAGUGCGCGCCGCCAACUUGGUGUCGGUUGAACGCGCCGUCGUCACCGUGCGCGCCUUCAGGCGCCUGCCGAGGAGCCUCGUCCUCGGUGUGGUCAGCUGCAAGGGUCACCGGGCUACGGCGGCUGUCUUCACCAGGGGUGGACACUUCUUCCACCAGGAGUCCGUGCUGUACACUUGGAAGCAAUUGGGCCGCACCGAGCGCCACACUUCAGUGCCGUUCCUUAGCGUGACUCUUCCUUACGGUUUGGAGUGGAGCUCCU